UACGUAGGGUGCGAGCGUGUCCGGAAUUAUUGGGCGUAAAGAGCGUGUAGGCGGCCCGGUAAGUCCGCUGUGAAAGUCGGGGGGCUCAACCCUCGAAUGCCGGUGGAUACUGUCGGGCUAGAGUGCGGAAGAGGCGAGUGGGAAUUCCUGGUGUAGCGGUGAAAUGCGCAGAUAUCAGGAGGAACACCAAUUGCGAAGGCAGCUCGCUGGGACGUAACUGACG
rnacentral:rRNA from 1 species